UGUAAUUGUUUCUAUUUACAGAUGCCAGUCCUAAAUUAUGCAGUGGUGGAGUUUCUGAUGGAAAACUCUGUGGAAGUCGUCCACAAAUCAUGGAUUGAAAGCUCUCAUGACCUAUUGUACUGUUACUGGCCGAAUAUUAAUCCUUCCGUCAGAGCUAAGAAGAUGGAGUUUCCAGACAAGACAAAAUGGAACAAAUACAAAGUCAGGAUACUCUGCUAUACAGAUGACAGUAUUAGGGUUACACCCAUGCGACCAUUGAAAUGACGACAACAGGAAAGUACACUACCAUCUAGAUCUCAUUCUGGAACUCCAACAUUUCCAGCGGAGAAAAGGUGUGAAGAAAGAGAACAGAGGGAAGACACUGAUGAAAAAGACGCCAGGGAAGGCAGUGACCCCAUUACCAGACAUGGAAUUCUCUUCCGAUUCCAAUUAAAGUUGUAAUAAAUGAGAACAAAAAGUGAAAUGUGGUGUAACGUUUUAUUUA